GACAGGGUCUGGCUCUGUCACCCAGGCUGGAGUGCAGUGGCACGAUCUUGGCUCACAACUACCUCCGCCUCCCCAGGCUUAAGCAAUCCUCCCACCUCAGCCUCCCAAGUAGCUGAAACUACAGGUGUGCGCCAUCACCCCCAGCCUCCACCCAGGAACUGACUCAGCGCAAGAAGACAGCUUCGACUCUGUAUGAGUUCAUCUCCAACCUGACCAAUCAGCACUCCCGGCUCACUGGCUUCCCCCCAUCCACCAAGUUGUCCUUAAAACUCUGCUCCCCGAAUGCUUGGGGAGACUUAUUUGAGUAAUAAUAAAACUCUGUUCUUCUGCACAGCCAGCUCCGCAUGAAAUUACUCUUUCUCUAUCGCAGUUCCCCAGUAUUGAUAAAUCGGCUCUGUCUAGGCAACCGGCAAGGUGAACUCACUAGGCAGUUAUGGCAGUACUCUUCUGCCUGGCACACUCACCUCUCAUUCCGCUUCCUUUUCUGCCUAACAUCCAGUAAUCUUUAAGUUCAUUGGCCCUUUCUCCAGGAAGCCUCCCUUGACUUUCUA
rnacentral:lncRNA from 1 species